UUUUUUGAGCGGAUUUGUACAAUCUGUUAUUGGGGGUGGGGGAACGGCGCAGAUGGUGGACGUCGGUCGUGGAACGGCGGAGUGCGUCGCGGUGGACGGCGUACUGGCGCCCUGCGUUGCGAUGCUGCUCGCCGUGACGCGUGGCGCUGCGGCGCUCUACGCUCUCAUCAGGAGUCCAAACCGAUCGAGGAGCUAAGAGCGCCGAGACGUCACCGCGAGGAGAAUUCCCACUCCGUACACAAACAGGGUAUCGAUUACACGCCGAGACUGGCAGGGAAGAAGAUAUCACGAUGCAUCCACGGAUGCGCGAUUUGGUAUCGCAAAACCUCACGAGUUACACUUAAUUCUAAUUGAUCGAUAAGUGCCGUGGAACUUGAUAGUCCGAUUGCUAUAAAUAACGUAUGUUAUGCUGAAAUCAAUUAGUCAGCUGGUUUGCAGCCGUGAUUGCAAGCGAGGUGGUGUGUGGAUUGAUUCAAAAGUUGGCAGGAGGAGGAGGAGGAGGAGGAGGAGGAGGAGGCGGCAAGAUUAUUUCUCGCCCCCCCGAAGGCCUUCUCAGUGGCCUCGACGCCCCGCCGCCGCCGAGUCCGUAGCCAUUUUUCCCUGCGGAACGGCGCCGCCGUCGU